UACGAAGGGGGCUAGCGUUGUUCGGAAUCACUGGGCGUAAAGCGCACGUAGGCGGAUCUUUAAGUCAGAGGUGAAAUCCCAAGGCUCAACCUUGGAACUGCCUUUGAUACUGGGGAUCUUGAGUCCGGGAGAGGUGAGUGGAACUGCGAGUGUAGAGGUGAAAUUCGUAGAUAUUCGCGAGAACACCAGUGGCGAAGGCGGCUCACUGGCCCGGUACUGACGCUGAGGUGCGAAAGCGUGGGGAGCAAACAGG
rnacentral:rRNA from 1 species